AUCGCCCCGUCUCUCACGAAUAUAAUAGCUAGGCGGAGCGGACAGAGCCAACCACGCGGGAGGCGGCGGCGACGGAGGGACUGAGGAAGAGAGCCGUGUCCGGCGGCCUGGAGCGUCCUGACGGCCGCAGCGGGGAUGGCCCAUGCCCGCCGAUCUGCUCGUCAACUACGACCUUCCUCCUCCAGGAAAACUCUAGGGCCUUUUCCCAAAUAGAUUGGAGAGUGCCGGGAAGGGCGGCGACCGCAACUACAACCUACGGCGGAGGAGAAACUAACCGCGAGCGACGGAGAACUGGCGGUGCUGCUCAUGCUCGACUCAGCGGUGCUCUCGGUGCACCACCGAUGGGUGAUGAUGCUUGAGCUAAGAACUCUGUGCUCAGAGCCACCGGUGGCGGCUGAGUAAGGGCACUGGUGCGGUGGAGGUACAUCUCCUCCCUUUAUUCAUCCCUCCCUCUCUCCCUGCCCCCUCCCUCUCUCUUCCCCAGUGGGAUCGCCGUGAGCCCGUGACCGUGGACCGGCCGGGUGGGACUCCAGCGGCGAGGAACGGAGAGCACCGGUGCUCUGUUGGCGAAUGCAUGUUGCGGGUACAGGGAGACCUCCGGCAAUGGGAAAUGGAUAGAGCUUUGGCAGAUAACCCUGUUCUCAUGUGAACAAAAUUUCAUCUCUCUUGAAUUUUUGUGUGCAAAUAGCAGAGGAACACCGCUGCUGACAGGAUUCUUAUGACUACCAGCAGAUCAACCCUUCUCAUGCGUUUGUUGCCAAGGAUAUGCAUGCAGCGAAGUGGAGGUUCCGCCAUUUUAAGAGGUGGGAUUAAUGUUGUUGUACUGCUUGAUUAGGAGUAUGCAACACUAUAUUUUGAUGUAUACUACAGUAUUAUUUUGUUGCUGGUAAACAUUAUUUCCAUCUAAUGUUUUAUUCAGAGGCAAAGAAAAUUAUGCUAACAAGGAGUUUAUUUUGUCGGUUUUUAAAUGGAGCACAAAUAUAAGACAUGUUCUUCAUCAACGAUAGGAAUUUUAAUAUGUAAAGGUCAGUAAAAAAGAAUGCACAUAAAAUGCUACUCUUUUUUUAGUUGGUAACAUUGUAUACAGAAUUUGAAUCUAAAUUAUUGGAAUUCAUUGUUCCAUAUUGGAAGUUCCUCAAGAGCUUGAAUAAUCCAAUUUGCGGUUCAAGAUAUACCCUAAUUUCUUUCUUUCUUUGGAUUCCGGUGGACAUGUCAUAGGUGUAGAUGGGCUUGACCAAGCCAUGAAAUCAACUUCAUUUAUGCACAAGUUUUUUAGUAGAUAUUUUGUCAACAUAUGAAUGGUGCUUGCUUCUUGCGUCCAAAGAUGAUUCACUCCUUUGUUGCUUCAAAUUAGGCUCGAACCAACCAUGCCUACAGUGAACACAUCAUAAUUAUGAGAUGAUUUUAUUGUGUUCAAUUGAUUUUCAUAAUAGGCUGUUUGGCAUUGUUGUUGCUAAUUUCUCUGACCCUGAUUUUUAUAGCAUGCCAUUUUACACCGUCGGCCUCGCGAACCAACCGUACCUACAGUAAGCACAUCGCUGUUAUUGGCUGAAUUUUUUUGUAUUCCAUUGAUUUUCAUAACAUGCUGUUAUUUUGCUAAUUUCUUUGACAUUGAUUUUCAUACCAUGUUGUUUCACACCGUCGGCCUCGCCAUACUCAGCCAGGUUGCCACGGGAAGGCGUCAGGAGUUCCAUACGAACGGGUUGACUAUGGGUGUGGGCAUGGGUACCUCAGAGAAGGGCUCCACUCUUUCAGACCUAAGUAUUCUUUACCUAAUAAAAGAUCCAUGCAUGCACUGCUAUAUAUUUGGUUUAACUCAUAUUACAAGUAUGCAUCUAUAUAUGUUCCCAAACCAGUGAACCCCUUCCUGUGUGUGAAGAUUAUGCAUGCCUUUCACAUUGCCGCUUCCCAUUGCCCGUUGGUACCUGCCUCGGAUGGUUUCACCAUUGCCAAACCUAUUGUAGUCGUGCACAACAUACUUCACUGAAAUCUUCGUAGCUUUGUGGAAUUUUGCUGAAACCAAUGUUACUAUUUGAGCAUUGGGAGUGAAGUUAUUCUCUUCCUAUGAUGUACACGCCAGAGACGUUUGAUGAAAGGAAAUUCUAUCAUGAUCUUUUAUAGAGCUACAAAUGAAUCUUUACCAAAGUUUUUAUGUAGGCAAUUGUUUGCUCUGCUUGAAACUGUAAGGUCGGUAUUUUGAUUUGUUUUUUUCUUCUUAACUGCAGAUUUGUCACCAACUAUUACGUACAUAUAUUGUGUUACUGCUAAUUUCUCUGACAUUUUAAUAAAAUAAAAAUAAUGAUUAUCUGAAAGUGCCUUUAAUUAAUCUAAUGAAAAACUUCUCCUUCAAUGCGAUAUACAAAACUUCAUCUGAACCAUCAUUGCUAUCAUGAUCCAGAGUUUUGCUACACAUUCAAGGUACUGAGAACGCCCUAAUUGCUAAUACUUUGGAGGCAUGCUGUGUAAUUGUAAUAAUUAUCAAUGAUAAGGUCUUACAUAUUUUGUACUGUUCAGGUCCUUCAAUGGGUAUAUUGUGCGUCAAAGGUCCUGUUCAUCUGUAACAAAUUCCGUUGUAGACUGAGUCGUAUGUGUUCUUCAAUCUAUUUUCAUGUUGUUUUCUUGGGCCUUAGUGUUUUGAUUCUUGGGCGUUUUGACAAAUGCUUCACAAAUGAAGCUCAUGUUAACAAUUUCAGAGGUGUAGGUUGGUCUGCAGCUCAUGUGGGCGGAGGAGAAGCAUGCUUCAGUUUGUCCCACAAAAGUAGUUGCCUCAAUCCUUGCUGUCACCGUCGGAGACGAAACUUGGUGGAAGCACACGGCUGAAUGGAAUCCAAUGGAACCAAUGUUGCAGCUAUAGCAUCCUACAUUUAGUGAUUCGUCUUUAAUUCGGUCAUAACAAUUGUAUCAUCUAUAUUAUUUCACUUGCAUCAUUCCCUUCCAUUGGUGUUGUAGCUGGUACUUGCCAGUCUCUAUGGAACAUAGGUAUAACUGCAGUGAGUGAGAAGAGUACAUGAUUGUAGGUUGCAACUUGCUAAUUAUGUGGCGUGUUCAUGUGUGCGUAUUGUAGUUACCUGAACCGUGUAAAAAUGGACACAUUUUUCUAGAAUAUUAAGCUAUGUAAAUUAUGUAUAGAUGGAUAACUAUGUAAAUUACACAACUAUUUUGCUGGAAAGUGAGACGUGCGUUGCACGUGCAAGCUAAU